GAAGUGCCACCUAUGCCUUCAAAGUGAUAAAGAUCCAGACUGAGUUGAAAAGAAUGAUAAAGACAGAGCUGAGAGGGCCACAGUUUUAGUGACAGCCUCAGCUGUGACAAAGGAGAGAAAACAGAAAGACCUGGGAAAGUGCAAGGAUGAAGCAAUUAAGUUUGAGAAAUGUGAUGUGAGGUUUAGGAAAGGUGGAUUUUAGCCCCAGCAGACUUUUAGCUGGACACGGACCUAAUACCUUGAGACUUCAUUGUUCCCAUUAAAGAAAAAAUUAUCUUCUGACUUUCUAGGGGUUUGGGGGUCCCAGAUAUCAAAAGAUUUAAACCACUUAGGAGGUUUCCAUUGGAAGGAGAAGACUGUCUUUAGCCCACUGCAUCCCCUCAAGCCAUCCCAAGCUUUCUCUGUGCCAGGGACUGGACGCACGCUAAAAUACGAACCUGUGUGGACUUCUUUCUUAGGAGCCUUUGCACCAGCACAGAGAGCUCUCAAGAAGCUGUUGGCUCCUGCAUCCCAUCAGUCAGCACCAAAACCUUACUAAGAAAGAUGGUUGUCUAUUUUUCAUCCUAUAUGAGAAAGAGACAGAGACAGUGAUGGCGAGACUCAAGCACGCAUAUCUUGAUGGACUCCAAAAUGCUCUUCCUAAUUCCUUCUCUGUGGCUCAUUCUUCAUCCUCUAUUUGCAUUGGGAAGGACAGCGUAGGGCCGAGAGGAAUCACGGCUGAAUGGUCUGAGAUCCCGACCUGCAGAAGUAACUGGCCACUUCAGGGAAGAGAUGACUAAGAGCACUUAGAAUUUAUCCAGCUCUCAAGGCGACUUCACCAAGGAACAACCACAGUGUUGUUUUUUCACAGAAACACCAAACUUGGAAAUAAACCCUUCCAGGCUGU
ensembl:lncRNA LINC02529 long intergenic non-protein coding RNA 2529